CCUACGGGCGGCAGCAGUGAGGAAUAUUGGUCAAUGGGCGCGAGCCUGAACCAGCCAAGCAGCGUGAAGGAUGACUGCCCUACGGGUUGUAAACUUCUUUUAUAAAGGAAUAAAGUGAGGCACGUGUGCCUUUUUGCAUGGACUUUAUGAAUAAGGAUCGGCUAACUCCGUGCCAGCAGCCGCGGUAAUACGGAGGAUACGAGCGUUAUCCGGAUUUAUUGGGGUUAAAGGGAGCGGAGAUGGGUUGUUAAGUCAGUUGUGAAAGUUUGCGGCUCAACCGGAAAAUUGCAAUUGAUACUGGCAGUCUUGAGUACAGUUGAGGUAGGCGGAAUUCGUGGUGUAGCGGUGAAAUGCUUAGAUAUCACGAAGAACUCCGAUUGCGAAGGCAGCUUACUAAACUGCCACUGACAUUGAUGCUCGAAAGUGUGGGUAUCAAACAGGAUUAGAUACCCCAGUAGUC
rnacentral:rRNA from 1 species